rnacentral:rRNA from 1 species
UACAGAGGGGGCAAGCGUUAUUCGGAAUUAUUGGGCGUAAAGAGCUCGUAGGCGGUUUGUCACGUCUGCUGUGAAAUCCCGAGGCUCAACCUCGGGCCUGCAGUGGGUACGGGCAGACUGGAGUGCGGUAGGGGAGAAUGGAAUUCCUGGUGUAGCGGUGGAAUGCGCAGAUAUCAGGAGGAACACCGGUGGCGAAGGCGGGUCUCUGGGCAGUAACUGACGCUGAGGAGCGAAAGCGUGGGGAGCGAACAGG